rnacentral:lncRNA from 10 species
AUGCUGGAGGCAAAACUGGGGAAGGAAAGAAUGUUUAUCCUUUUCUGCUUUGAUCAGUAUCCUCAGACUUCUGUGUGGCAGGCAGUUGCUCCACACACGCCACGUGCCAGACGCAGUCAGGUGCUCGGUGAAGCAAUGCACAGAUAGCCAGAAGCUUCCACUCCAUGUACUGUCUUUGUCAACAGGAAGAAGGUCACAAUGGAUGUCCUGGCUACCUCACCUGCAGUCUGAGGAUUCAAGAUCUGCACUGGCCACACGAGCAGGUAACAGCCGCUCCUCCACACCCUUCAGGUGUGGCUCACAGGAGACCUUCCCUCUGGGAAAGGGGUCCUCCACCGCCUCUCACCCAGGCAGUGAGCGUGUGUGAGUGUGAGCAUGCUCCUAAAACGACGCACACGACCAUCCCUCACCGCUCCCCACAGGACCCGGAACCGGCAGCUACAGAGGGUGAAGCCCAUCACCACUAAGAGGGGAGGCCCCUGUUCCCCAGGCCCAGGGCCUCAGGUGCCAGGCCCACCAGGCCAUGAAGGUCGCAGCCUCUCAGCUGAGAGGCUCAGCUGCACAGCUUUGUUUAUCCCAGCCGCCCAGAGCGGCAGACACCCCCUUGCCCCAGCCUGGGGCCUCCCAGCCCCUCAGUCUCCAACCAGCUCCUCCACCAACCCAGUGCCUACACUCCACUGACCCAGGGCCCACUCUGUCCUCAAAGCCCGCCCCUUCUCCUGGGUCUUCUUAGCUUCAAGCAAGGGUGCCCACCUCAGUCCCAGCUGCCCACUCUCCAGCAGGGCCAGUUCCUACCCCAAAGACGGGGCCCUCAAGCAAAGGGGCCUGCCCAGCUGCUUCACCAGGGGCAGAAAUGCAGCCGCAAAGCUGUGUGUCGAAUGCAGGCUGGGUC